AAAGUCGAGACUGAACGUUUAGCGUUC
rnacentral:piRNA from 1 species